GUUCGCUGCCGCACAGGCAGCUCAGAAA
rfam:Thioalkalimicrobium aerophilum AL3, complete genome.